UUUUAAGUUGUUCCAUUUAGUUCUCUCCAUCCGCCAAAGUUCAAUCACUAUUCCGUCUAUUUUUUUUAUAAUUUAUAUCAAAAAUAUUUUUUAAAUAAUAAAAAUAUAUUAUAAAUUUAUUUCUUUAAUAAAAAAGUGAGAAUAAUUUGAUCAUUUUGUCCUCUCCAUUAAUACUGUACUCUCUUGAAAAUAUUUCUGAAAUUUUAAGAGGGUAAAAUAUAAAUUUUUAAAAGUCUGAGAGUAGGGACGAAGCUAGGAUUCAAUUUUGAGGGGGGCCAAAAUAUAUUUAAAUAGAAAUUUUAGUAAAAAAUAAUAAACAAAAUUUUUUCUAAUUAAAAAUUUUUUAUUAAAAAAAUAUUAAUUAAAUAAAUAAUGUAAAAGUAUGAAUUUUAUAUUUUUUAUUUUCAUAUAUUUAACUUCUAAUUAUUUUUUUUAUAUUAUUACAUUAAAAUAACUCAGAAAUUUUACUAAAUCUAACAGUAAUUUCUUAGUUUUUUAAUAAAUAAAAUUAACAUACCUAUUAAAUUUAGUGCAAUUUUUGAUUUAGUCAAAUAAAAGAGCUCACCUAAGAUAAAUAAAAGUUUUAAAAAAUUAUUAAAUAAAAUUUUUAGAGUAGAGAAAUAUAUUACAAAAUACUCUAUAAGCAAGAAGCUUUUAAUAU
rnacentral:lncRNA from 1 species